GACGAACGCUGGCGGCGUGCCUAAUACAUGCAAGUUGAGCGCUGAAGGUUGGUACUUGUACCGACUGGAUGAGCAGCGAACGGGUGAGUAACGCGUGGGGAAUCUGCCUUUGAGCGGGGGACAACAUUUGGAAACGAAUGCUAAUACCGCAUAAAAACUUUAAACACAAGUUUUAAGUUUGAAAGAUGCAAUUGCAUCACUCAAAGAUGAUCCCGCGUUGUAUUAGCUAAUUGGUGAGGUAAAGGCUCACCAAGGCGAUGAUACAUAGCCGACCUGAGAGGGUGAUCGGCCACAUUGGGACUGAGACACGGCCCAAACUCCUACGGGAGGCAGCAGUAGGGAAUCUUCGGCAAUGGACGAAAGUCUGACCGAGCAACGCCGCGUAAGUGAAGAAGGGUUUCGGAUCGUAAAACUCUGUUGGUAGAGAAGAACGUUGGUGAGAGUGGAAAGCUCAUCAAGUGACGGUAACUACCCAGAAAGGGACGGCUAACUACGUG
rnacentral:rRNA from 1 species